rnacentral:rRNA from 1 species
GAGGGGCAGCACGGUUUUCGGACUGGUGGCGACCGGCGCACGGGUGCGUAACGCGUAUGCAACCUACCCACAACUUGGGGAUAGCCCGGGGAAACUCGGAUUAAUACCCGAUAGUAUUAUAGAUUGGCAUCAUGAAAUAAUUAAAGAUUUAUUGGUUGUGGAUGGGCAUGCGUCUGAUUAGUUAGUUGGCGAGGUAACGGCUCACCAAGACGAUGAUCAGUAGGGGGUCUGAGAGGAUGAUCCCCCACACUGGAACUGAGACACGGUCCAGACUCCUACGGGAGGCAGCAGUAGGGAAUAUUGGUCAAUGGGCGAGAGCCUGAACCAGCCAUGCCGCGUGCAGGAUGACGGCCUUCUGGGUUGUAAACUGCUUUUCUACAGGAAGAAAACGUCCAUGCGUGGAUAAUUGACGGUACUGUAGGAAUAAGCACCGGCUAACUCCGUGCCAGCAGCCGCGGUAAUACGGAGGGUGCAAGCGUUGUCCGGAUUUAUUGGGUUUAAAGGGUGCGUAGGCGGGUCUUUAAGUCAGUGGUGAAAGCCCAUAGCUCAACUAUGGAACUGCCAUUGAUACUGGGGAUCUUGAAUUCAGUUGAGGUAGGCGGAAUUGAUGGUGUAGCGGUGAAAUGCAUAGAUACCAUCAAGAACAC